GACGAACGCUGGCGGCGUGCUUAACACAUGCAAGUCGAACGGUAAGGCCCUUCGGGGUACACGAGUGGCGAACGGGUGAGUAACACGUGGGAGAUCUGCCCUGCACUUCGGGAUAAGACUGGGAAACUGGGUCUAAUACCGGAUAGGGCCACUGCCUGCAUGGGUGGUGGUGGAAAGCUUGUGCGGUGUGGGAUGGGCCCGCGGCCUAUCAGCUUGUUGGUGGGGUGAUGGCCUACCAAGGCGACGACGGGUAGCAGGCCUGAGAGGGUGGCCGGCCACACUGGGACUGAGAUACGGCCCAGACUCCUACGGGAGGCAGCAGUGGGGAAUAAUGCACAAUGGGCGCAAGCCUGAUGCAGCGACGCCGCGUGAGGGAUGGCGGCCUUCGGGUUGUAAACCUCUUUCAGCACCGACGAAGCGCAAGUGACGGUAGGUGCAGAAGAAGGACCGGCCAACUACGUGCCAGCCGCCGCGGUAA
rnacentral:rRNA from 1 species